UACGGAGGGGGCUAGCGUUGUUCGGAUUUACUGGGCGUAAAGCGCACGUAGGCGGAUCUUUAAGUCAGAGGUGAAAUCCCAAGGCUCAACCUUGGAACUGCCUUUGAUACUGGGGAUCUUGAGUCCGGGAGAGGUGAGUGGAACUGCGAGUGUAGAGGUGAAAUUCGUAGAUAUCAAGCGGAACACCGGUGGCGAAGGCGGCCUUCUGGACGAUGACUGACGCUGAGACGCGAAAGCGUGGGGAGCAAACAGG
rnacentral:rRNA from 1 species